rnacentral:rRNA from 1 species
GACGUAGGGGGCAAGCGUUGUCCGGAAUUAUUGGGCGUAAAGCGCUCGUAGGUGGGUCGUUAAGUCUGUGAGGAAAUGCCUGGGCUCAACUCAGGAACCCGUGCGGAUACUAUCGAUCUUGAGGCAAUCAGAGGAUGAUGGAAUUCCCGGUGUAGCGGUGAAAUGCGUAGAUAUCUGGAAGAACACCAAAGGCGAAGGCAGUGUCCUGGGUGGUCGCUGACGCUGAGAGGCGAAAGCCAGGGGAGCGAACGGG